CGGGUUGUAAAGUACUUUCAGCAGUGAGGAAGGUGGAUAUGUUAAUAGCAUAUUCAUUUUGACGUUUAGCUGCAGAAGAAGCACCGGCUAACUCCGUGCCAGCAGCCGCGGUAAUACGGAGGGUGCGAGCGUUAAUCGGAAUUACUGGGCGUAAAGCGCAUGCAGGUGGUUUGUUAAGUCAGAUGUGAAAGCCCGGGGCUCAACCUCGGAAUUGCAUUUGAAACUGGCAAACUAGAGUACUGUAGAGGGGGUAGAAUUUCAGGUGUAGCGGUGAAAUGCGUAGAGAUCUGAAGGAAUACCGGUGGCGAAGGCGGCCCCCUGGACAGAUACUGACACUCAGAUGCGAAAGCGUGGGGAGCAAACAGGAUUAGAUACCCUGGUAG
rnacentral:rRNA from 1 species